AUAGUAAAGCUCGUUUGGGUUCUUUUUACCAGGAGUUUGUAUAGUGAUAAGACCAAAUGUUUCCUUGUAGGGUUUAUAAGGACACAAGCUGCAAUACGUGUAAGGAAUGGUUAGGAGAAUCUGAAGCCAGAUCUUGUGAAAACAAUGACCAAGGAAAAGAAAAUAGCGAUCUGUUUCUUCGGCAUGGCCCUACUCUGUGGAGGAAUUAUUUUCAUGAUAAAGAGUGGAGCGCUUCAAGUAGAGGCCUUUUCCAAACCUUAUCUCAUUAGUGGAGCUAUUCUCACAGGAAGUGGUAUACUUGGUAUUCUAUGCUCUUGUUUCUAUUUAGUUUGGCCAAAAGAACUUCGAAAUUUUACCAGGAAUAAACGAAAACAUUCUACACCAAAUUAUGAAGAAACGAAUGACGUGAACGCUGUGCUUAUUAUUAUUAUAGAUUCGUGCUUUCAUUAUCAAACCGCUAAGAAGUGUUAUUUUGUAUCAAUCGAUGAUAUUAUUCGCAAAACUGGAUGCCCCGUUCCACACUAUUGUACUCUUUAUGAUCCUAAUGAGUCAUCCGUUCAAAGUAAUUCAGGACAGAAGUAUAAGUCCCUUCCUAGUUGAACGUAUUGAGUUCAGAUAA